AGUCGUGCGGAAAGGCCCUUCGGGGUGCUCGAGCGGCGAACGGGUGAGUAACACGUGAGUAACCUGCCCUAGGCUUUGGGAUAACCCUCGGAAACGGGGGCUAAUACCGGAUAUUCACAUGCUGUCGCAUGGUGGUGUGUGGAAAGGUUUUCUGGCUUGGGAUGGGCUCGCGGCCUAUCAGCUUGUUGGUGGGGUGAUGGCCUACCAAGGCGACGACGGGUAGCCGGCCUGAGAGGGCGACCGGCCACACUGGGACUGAGACACGGCCCAGACUCCUACGGGAGGCAGCAGUGGGGAAUAUUGCACAAUGGGCGGAAGCCUGAUGCAGCGACGCCGCGUGAGGGAUGAAGGCCUUCGGGUUGUAAACCUCUUUCAGCAGGGACGAAGCGCAAGUGACGGUACCUGCAGAAGAAGCGCCGGCCAACUACGUGCCAGCAGCCGCGGUAAGACGUAGGGCGCGAGCGUUGUCCGGAUUUAUUGGGCGUAAAGAGCUCGUAGGCGGCUUGUUGCGUCGUCCGUGAAAACCUGUGGCUCAACUACAGGCUUGCGGUCGAUACGGGCGGGCUGGAGUUCGGUAGGGGAGACUGGAAUUCCUGGUGUAGCGGUGAAAUGCGCAGAUAUCAGGAGGAACACCGGUGGCGAAGGCGGGUCUCUGGGCCGAUACUGACGCUGAGGAGCGAAAGCGUGGGGAGCGAACAGGAUUAGAUACCCUGGUAGUCCACGCUGUAAACGUUGGGCGCUAGGUGUGGGGGGCCUCUCCGGUUCUCUGUGCCGCAGCUAACGCAUUAAGCGCCCCGCC
rnacentral:rRNA from 1 species